AAUGAACGCUGGCGGCAUGCCUUACACAUGCAAGUCGAACGGCAGCAUGACCUCGCUUGCUAGGUUGAUGGCGAGUGGCGAACGGGUGAGUAAUGCAUCGGAACGUGCCUUUUAGUGGGGGAUAACGUAGCGAAAGUUACGCUAAUACCGCAUAUUCUCUGAGGAGGAAAGCAGGGGACCUUCGGGCCUUGCGCUAGAAGAGCGGCCGAUGUCGGAUUAGCUAGUUGGUGAGGUAAAGGCUCACCAAGGCAACGAUCCGUAGCGGGUCUGAGAGGAUGAUCCGCCACACUGGGACUGAGACAAGGCCCAGACUCCUACGGGAGGCAGCAGUGGGGAAUUUUGGACAAUGGGCGCAAGCCUGAUCCAGCCAUGCCGCGUGAGUGAAGAAGGCCUUCGGGUUGUAAAGCACUUUCGGCUGGGAAGAAAUCGCACCCUCUAAUACAGGGUGUGGAUGACGGUACCAGCAUAAGAAGCACCGGCUAACUACGUG
rnacentral:rRNA from 1 species